rnacentral:rRNA from 1 species
GACGAACGCUGGCGGCGCGCCUAACACAUGCAAGUCGAACGAGCGAGAGAGAGCUUACCUUCUCAAGCGAGUGGCGCACGGGUGAGUAACACGUAUCCAACCUGCCGUCUACUCUUGGACAGCCUUCUGAAAGGAAGAUUAAUACAAGAUGGCAUCAUGAGUCCGCAUGUUCACAUGAUUAAAGGUAUUCCGGUAGACGAUGGGGAUGCGUUCCAUUAGAUAGUAGGCGGGGUAACGGCCCACCUAGUCUUCGAUGGAUAGGGGUUCUGAGAGGAAGGUCCCCCACAUUGGAACUGAGACACGGUCCAA